GUGAGGAAUAUUGGACAAUGGGCGCAAGCCUGAUCCAGCCAUGCCGCGUGCAGGAAGACGCAUCUAUGGUGUGUAAACUGCUUUUGUACGGGAAGAAACACUCCCUCGUGAGGGAGCUUGACGGUACCGUAAGAAUAAGGAUCGGCUAACUCCGUGCCAGCAGCCGCGGUAAUACGGAGGAUCCAAGCGUUAUCCGGAAUCAUUGGGUUUAAAGGGUCCGUAGGCGGUUUAAUAAGUCAGUGGUGAAAGUCCAUCGCUCAACGAUGGAACGGCCAUUGAUACUGUUAGACUUGAAUUACAAGGAAGUAACUAGAAUAUGUAGUGUAGCGGUGAAAUGCUUAGAUAUUACAUGGAAUACCAAUUGCGAAGGCAGGUUACUACUUGUGGAUUGACGCUGAUGGACGAAAGCGUGGGGAGCGAACAGGAUUAGAAACCCGUGUAGUCC
rnacentral:rRNA from 1 species